rnacentral:rRNA from 1 species
UACAGGGGGUGCAAACGUUGCUCGGAAUUAUUGGGCGUAAAGCGCACGUAGGCGGUUUGUUAUGUCGGAUGUGAAAGCCCUUGGCUCAACUGAGGAAGUGCAUCCGAAACUGGCAAGCUAGAGUAUGUAAGAGGGUCGCGGAAUUCCAGGUGUAGCGGUGAAAUGCGUAGAUAUCUGGAGGAACACCGGUGGCGAAGGCGGCAUCCUGGACCAACACUGACGCUGAGUGAGCGAAAGCCAGGGGAGCAAACGGG